UACGGAGGGUGCAAGCGUUAUCCGGAUUCACUGGGUUUAAAGGGUGCGUAGGCGGGUUGGUAAGUCCGUGGUGAAAUCUCCGAGCUUAACUCGGAAACUGCCGUGGAUACUAUCAAUCUUGAAUAUCGUGGAGGUAAGCGGAAUAUGUCAUGUAGCGGUGAAAUGCUUAGAGAUGACACAGAACACCAAUUGCGUAGGCAGCUUACUACACGAUCAUUGACGCUGAGGCACGAAAGCGUGGGGAGCAAACAGG
rnacentral:rRNA from 1 species